UACGUAGGUGGCAAGCGUUGUCCGGAAUUAUUGGGCGUAAAGCGCGCGCAGGUGGUCCUUUAAGUCUGAUGUGAAAGCCCACGGCUCAACCGUGGAGGGUCAUUGGAAACUGGGGGACUUGAGUGCAGAAGAGGAUAGUGGAAUUCCAAGUGUAGCGGUGAAAUGCGUAGAGAUUUGGAGGAACACCAGUGGCGAAGGCGGCUUUCUGGUCUGUAACUGACGCUGAGGCGCGAAAGCGUGGGGAGCGAACAGG
rnacentral:rRNA from 1 species